UACGAAGGGGGCUAGCGUUGUUCGGAAUUACUGGGCGUAAAGCGUGCGCAGGCGGCUUCUCAAGUCAGGGGUGAAAUCCUGGAGCUCAACUCCAGAACUGCCUUUGAUACUGAGGAUCUCGAGUUCGGGAGAGGUGAGUGGAACUGCGAGUGUAGAGGUGAAAUUCGUAGAUAUUCGCAAGAACACCAGUGGCGAAGGCGGCUCACUGGCCCGAUACUGACGCUGAGGCACGAAAGCGUGGGGAGCAAACAGG
rnacentral:rRNA from 1 species